rnacentral:rRNA from 1 species
AUGGCUCAGAUUGAACGCUGGCGGCAGGCCUAACACAUGCAAGUCGAGCGGAUGACGGGAGCUUGCUCCUUGAUUCAGCGGCGGACGGGUGAGUAAUGCCUAGGAAUCUGCCUGGUAGU